GAAAACUCCUGCCAGGAGUGUGCGAGGCAGAUGUCGGAGUUCUUUCCUGUGAAAAUCUUGCCCAACUCGACCGAAACUUCACAGCGUGAAGUCGGCGAAAGCUGCACAGAUAAGGCGGUGUUGGAGGGAGAAAUCACACUGGCUAGAAUGGCCGAGGUUGUUAGUGGAGCGACAACAGAGCGACUUUGGACGACGUACGACAGAACUCGAUCGAUGGAGGGCGUUAAACUGAACAGCCUCAUCAAACUCUGCCUGGCUGAUCCAAGCUUUCCCGCCUACGUGGAACAAGUUGAAAAGGAACUGAAAAAAGUCAAAGAUGAGAUGAAGGCCUAAAGACAAUCUCCAUAAUUAAAGAUAUCGGCGAAUAUAUUGUGAUUUGCUGGGGCUUCACAGAGACUAACUCUGCUUCCUCUGUAGUCCUAAGCCCGCACUGACUUCAAGAAAUGUAAAUGUGUAUUGAUCGGAGUCGUUUAUCUUGAAAGCGAUUAAAUCGUCUUCUUUUGUAACGACGGUGCAUCCAAAUUAUCUGUUCUCUUGGCUCUUUUAUAUUCUUAAAAUUUACGCUGUAAAUAAAGAAUACUGAAAAGUUUG
rnacentral:misc_RNA from 1 species